UAAUUUUUGUAAUGCCAAUAUUUUUUUUCAGUAAAUUUUCUCUUUGUUGUCUAUGGUUUUGUUCUGAAAUUGAGAACCCAAAAUUUACACUACUCACUAACUCAAGUUGUUUUGCAUAUUAUGUCGUGCAAUACUCUUGAUAUAUUCAAAGUUAAACUAUUUUCAUAUCAUCCUCUCUACCUUUUUUGUUUUUUUUAUCUAAAUCUUUUUAAAUCACAAUACUUUGGAUUUUAUCUAAAUCUUCUACUAUAUUUUGAACGUAUAGCUUUUGUCUUUUCUAUGAUCACUUGCUUGCAAGUUAUUAUCUUUCACCUUGGAGUGAGAC
rnacentral:lncRNA from 1 species